AUUACAUUACAGCUCUACAAUGCACCAGACGGACCCAUCUGGAUUCUUUCGGGGCUCUUAGCCCUAGAAAUAGCAUCAUUUCUUCAAACUGGUAUAGAGACCCUUGGGGAGGGUCCAACCCUGCUGCGUUUAGCGUAGCUUGUCAUGGAGAGGUUCCAGUGUGUUUACACCUUUGAACCAUCACAACGCCCAGCAUGAACUCUUCAAACUUUUGUAUUCAUGGCUCCAAAUGUUGAAAUUUUAAAAAUGACUUUAAGGCUUUUUAUUUAUUUUUAAUUUUUUUCUACAACUUUAAAGCAAAACUCAAGUAUGAGCUCAGAAGUAUUUUUCUCUUUGAAAAUGUUUAAAAAAAAAUGCUGCAGGUAAAUGAAGCUGUUUCUUUGGGACCAGCCCAUGGAGUGCUGGAGUAGCUGUGAGGUGUGCGCCAGGCCAGGGGACUCACCCCGUUUGUGCUUCCAUGUUCUUGUAAAAUGUGGAUUGUAGUGGAGCCUACCCCAGAGGGCUGCUGAGAAAAUUAAAUUAGUUACUGCAUGUAACACUUAGAAAAUACAAACAUGAAGCGCGUUUAAUACCGAAUGCCCUCAUUGAACGUUCAUUGAUAAUGUUAUUGCUGUUGCUGCUUCUCACUCCACCUCUCUCACUGGGGCCUGGGAGCGGGGAUGCCUGCAGGUGUGUUGGAAUCCGUCAGUGCAAUGCCAGGGGCACGCAGGCAGAAGCGGGUGGGACUCGUCCUGGUAGUGGGGGCGAGUUCAAGGUAACGCAGCAGACAAGGAGAAAUGGAUUUUCAUUGACCGGUAAGUUUUAAAUGGAAAACAAUCAUUCAAAAGAGGCAAUUUGAGGACACAGUGAGCCUUCG
rnacentral:lncRNA from 1 species